rnacentral:rRNA from 1 species
AAUGAACGCUGGCGGCGUGCUUUACACAUGCAAGUUGAGCGAGGCGGGGAGCAAUCCCUAGUCGAGCGGCGAACGGGUGAGUAACGCGUGGGUACCUGCCCUGAGGUGGGGGAUAACCCGGGGAAACUCGGGCUAAUACCGCAUAUGAUCGAGAGGUCAAAGAGGGCUCGCAAGAGCUCUUGCCAUAGGAGGGGCCCGCGUUCGAUUAGCUAGUUGGUAGGGUAAUGGCCACCAAGGCGACGAUCGAUAGCCGGCCUGAGAGGGUGAUCGGCCACACUGGAACUGAGACACGGUCCAGACUCCUACGGGAGGCAGCAGUGGGGAAUUUUGCGCAAUGGGCUAACGCCUGACGCAGCAACGCCGCGUGGAGGAUGAAGGUCCUUGGAU